rnacentral:rRNA from 1 species
GAUCAUUAUGGAUAAACCCUGAUGUGGUGGUAGUGGGUUUCCGGAACCAAGUGUUCGCCCUUCUUUUUUAUUUUUCCCCCUGUCCCCCUUUUGUAUUCUUUGGAUUUUUUUGGAGGAAAUUGGGAUUGGGGAUUGCCGUUUCGGCUUUCCUUCCAUUUCCAAGAUUAUGUUUUCAUAUACACCAAAGAAUGUUUAAAGAAUGUCAUCAAUGGGAACUUGUUUCCUAUAAAACUAUACAACUUUCAGCAACGGAUCUCUUGGCUCUCGCAUCGAUGAAGAACGCAGCGAAAUGCGAUAAGUAAUGUGAAUUGCAGAAUUCAGUGAAUCAUCGAAUCUUUGAACGCACCUUGCGCUCCUUGGUAUUCCGAGGAGCAUGCCUGUUUGAGUGUCAUUAAAUUCUCAACCUUCCAGCUUUUUAUUAGCUUGGUUAGGCUUGGAUGUGGGGGUUGCAGGCUUUGUUAUGAGGUCAGCUCUCCUUAAAUGCAUUAGCGGAACUUUUGUGGACCGUCUAUUGGUGUGAUAAUUAUCUACGCUGUGGAUGUGAAGCAGCUUUAUGAGGUUCAGCUUCUAACCGUCCAUUGACUUGGACAGUUUUGACAAUUGACCUCAAAUCAUGUAG